rnacentral:rRNA from 1 species
CCUACGGGUGGCUGCAGUGGGGAAUAUUGCGCAAUGGGCGAAAGCCUGACGCAGCGACGCCGCGUGAGGGAUGAAGGUCUUCGGAUCGUAAACCUCUGUCAGCAGGGACGAACGGUCACUGUGCUAAUCAGCAGUGAAUUGACGGUACCUGCAAAGGAAGCACCGGCUAACUCCGUGCCAGCAGCCGCGGUAAUACGGAGGGUGCGAGCGUUAAUCGGAAUUACUGGGCGUAAAGCGCUCGUAGGCGGUAUGUCAAGUCAAGGGGGAAAUCCCCGCGCUCAACGUGGGAACUGCCUUUGAAACUGGCAAACUAGAGUGUGUGAGAGGAUAGUGGAAUUCCAGGUGUAGGAGUGAAAUCCGUAGAUAUCUGGAGGAACAUCAGUGGCGAAGGCGACUAUCUGGCACAUAACUGACGCUGAGGAGCGAAAGCGUGGGUAGCAAACAGGAUGAGAUACCCCAGUAGUC